rnacentral:rRNA from 1 species
UACUAGAGUAGCACUCGCAUAUCAAUAAGCGGAGGAAAAGAGACUAACUAGGAUUCCCCUAGUAACGGCGAGUGAAGCGGGAAGAGCUCAAAUUUGAAAUCUUAAAGGGUUUCCCUUUACGAAUUGUAGUUUAAAGAAGUGUUUUCUGUUGAGGUUUUGGUAAAAGUUCUUUGGAAUAGGACAUCAUAGAGGGUGAGAAUCCCGUAUUUGACCUUUACUUUCAACUUUGUGAUACACUUUCAAAGAGUCGGAUUGUUUGGGAAUGCAGUCCAAAAUGGGUGGUAAAUUUCAUCUAAAGCUAAAUAUUGGCGAGAGACCGAUAGCGAACAAGUACCGUGAGGGAAAGAUGAAAAGAACUUUGAAAAGAGAGUUAAACAGUACGUGAAAUUGUCAAAAGGGAAGCGUUUGAUCACCAGUGUUGUUUUUCUGAAAAUCAAUUAAAGAACUGUUUAUGCUAAGCUGUUUAGACUUUAUCAGCUAUCUGUUUAGUUUUGAGCUUUUCUUUAAUGCACUUUUCAGUUAACAAGUCAACAUCAAUUUCUUUUGCUGUAAAAAAGCUUGAGGAAGGUGGCUUGAGAUUCGUCUUAAGUGUUUAUAGCCUCUUGCCUAUGCAGUCGGAGAGAUUGAGGUCUGCAGCGUAGAUCCUUCGGGGCUAAAUGCAUUUGUGCUAAGUUAUAGCAUUUUAUAGACAACUUGUUGACUAUGAUUUGUCUUGUAGCUUACUCGCUUAUGUUAUUUUACCUACGCUUAGGAUGUUGAGCGCAUGUCUCUCUCU